AUGAACGCUGACAGAAUGCUUAACACCUGCAAGUCGAUGGGGAAGUGGUGCUUGCACCAUGGUAACCAUGGCGGACGGGUGAGUAACGCGUAAGGAACUUGCCUGCGGGACUGGGAUAACAGCAGGAAACUGCUGAUAAUACCGGAUAAGGUCAUUAAGCUGCAUAGCUUAGUGAUGAAAGGAGACGCCUGCGGAGAGCCUUGCGUCCUAUUAGCUAGUUGGAGGGGUAACGGCCCACCAAGGCGAAGAUAGGUAGCCGGCCUGAGAGGGUGGACGGCCACAAGGGGACUGAGAUACGGCCCUUACUCCUACGGGAGGCAGCAGUGGGGAAUAUUGGACAAUGGGGGCAACCCUGAUCCAGCAAUUCUGUGUGCACGAAGACGGUUUUCGGAUUGUAAAGUGCUUUCAGCGGGGAAGAAGGAAGUGACGGUACCUGCAGAAGAAGCGACGGCUAAAUACGUG
rnacentral:rRNA from 1 species